AUGCAGGCAGAAGCUGCUUUAUGUGGAACUAACCAAACCCCAACUCGGUAUAUCUCUGGAUUCUGUCCAAAGAAAUCCCCAAAGCUAAGUUCCUAUAGUUGUGGAUUCUCUGCAUCCAAUGGUCAAAGAAUAACCAAGCUUCUCUUGGCCCUUAGGGAACUGAGCAGUCAAGACCCUUCUGGAAGCAGAAAGGAGGAUAAGGUUGCCUUGGGUAUUCCAAAUGCAGCUUCAUCUGGGUAAGAAGAAUAUAGAAAUAUAUAUCCAUAAUAUUGCUCGGGACCCUUUAACAUUAAGGGAUUCCAUAGCCAUCAGAUACCUGGCCUGUGGAGUAAUUGACUCCUUCAGACAAAGGCGCAUGAUGCCUGCCAAGCUGUGGGGCCCUGCGUGACAGGUGUUGGUCUGACUGCCAGUGCUCAUGCAUGUGUGCUGAGAUAUAGCCACCACAUUCUGACAUGGAGCUAAGCACUUCCUAUGCAUUAUCAUUUAAUUGUACAACUCUGUAAAAUAGAAACUAUUAUCCUUAUUUUAUACAUAUGGAAGCUUAAGUGAGGAGAAGUUAUAGAACGUGCCAAGGCCAAACCAUGGUAAAUGGCAAAGCCAAAGCCCAAAGCCCUGCCGGUGCUGUAUUGACACAUGGCUAUGGUGUUGACAAGGUGGGACAUCUGGUGAUAAGAGAAAAGAAGGCUUGUGCAAAUCACACGCCCACACGGAAUUUUUAAGUCUCCCAUCUUCUUCUGAGAGGUCUAUGAAGUACAGGACUGACGGCAGAAUUGUAAGGAUAACCUGAAUUCCCAUAUGACCAACAUGCACCUCCUUGUUCAAGUAUUGGCUCAGAAAUAACAGCUGACAGGAGACAUUUCCAUGAGAUGUGCAUUUAAGGUUUGUGGUUGGCUGGGGGUGAAAACGGGAGGUAGAUGAAUGAAUAGUGAUUAGGAGAAGUAGGAAAACUGGACUCACAGGGAUUUGGUGUCUAGAUCCAGCAAAAUGAAGAUAAAUUCACUUAUUUCUUUAUUCAUUCAACAUGUAUUCACUAUUACGCGCCAGUAUAUGCCAGGCACUGUGUCAUCCUAGCAAGUUAGUGGCUAUCAACAGAAGAUCCCAAAGUUCAUAUGGAGAGGCAAAAGGCCCAGAAUGGCCAACACAAUAUUGAGGAAGAAGAACCAAGUUGGAGGACUGACAUUGCCUGACUUCAAGACUUAACUAUAAAGCUAUAGUAAUCAACACAGUGUGGUACUGGUCAAAGAAUAGACAGAUCAAUGGAACAGAAUAGAGAACCCGGAUAAAAGACCCACAUGGAUAUAGUCUACUGAUCUUUGACAAAGGAGCAAAAGCAAUCCAAUGGAGGCAGGAUGGUCUCUUCAACAAGAGUGCUGGAAUAACUGGAUAUCCAUUUGGGAAAAAGAAAAAAGGCAAUCCAAGCACAGACCUUACCCCCUUCAUAAAAAUUAACUCAAAAUGAUCAUAGACUUAAAUUCAAAAUGCAAAACUAUAAAAUUCCUAGACGAUAACGCAGGAGAAAACCUAGGUGACCUUGGGUAUGGCGACGCCAUUAAAACAUUUUUUUUCAGUGUUUAUUUUUGAGAGACAGAGACAGAACAUGAGCUGGGGAGAGAAAGAGAGAGAGGGAGGCACAGAAUCUGAAGCAGGCUCCAGGCUCUGAGCUGUCAGCACAGAGCCCAAUGCAGGGCUCGAACCCACGAACCAGGAGAUCAUGACCUGAGCUGAAGUCAGAUGUUUGAUGACCGAGCCACCCAGGCAUGUCUCAUGUGACACCAUUUUAAAUAUAGCAUCAGGCACGAACCACAAAAGAACUAAUUGAUAAGGUGGACUUUAUUAAAAUUAAAAACCUCUGUUCUGAGAAAGACAAUAUCAAGAGGAUUAGAAAACAAGCCACAAGUUGGGAGAAAAUAUUUUCAAAAGAGACAUCUGAUGAAAGACUCUUAACCAAAAUAUACAAAGAGCUCUUAAAAUUCAAUGAGAAAAGAAAUAAACUGAUUAAAAAAUAGGCCA
ensembl:lncRNA